AUCAAGGUCCUCAUUCCACUGACGCGCUGCAAUUCCCACAAAGAGACCAUUCAGGGACAGCUGAAAGUGCGUCGACCGGGAACCUACGCGCUCAUCUUCGACAACUCUUUCUCACGGUUUAUCUCCAAGAAAGUCUUCUAUCAUCUGACCAUGGAAAAGCCCAUCAUCUACGAUGGAAGCGACUUCCCCUGAAGCUUUAGCGUCACAUGGACGUCACUUAAGUAUCGCCAUGGAAACUGAAGGGAUAUUAAGG